rnacentral:rRNA from 1 species
UAAACUAGGAUUAGAUACCCUAUUAUUAAAAAUGUAAUAAAAUUAACUUGAUUAUUAUUAGAAAUGAUCUUUAAAUUCAAAGAAUUUGGCGGUAAUUUAUCUUAUCAGAGGAACCUGUUUUAUGAUUGAUAAUCCACGAUAGAAAAAACUUCAAUUUAAUUUGUAUAUCUCUGUCAAGAAUGUUUUAUAAGAAAAAUUUUCAUUUUAUAUAAUUGUGUAUUAAAUGUCAGGUCAAGGUGCAGUUUAUAUUGAAGAAAAAAUGGGUUACAAUUAAUUAUUUAUUGGAUUAUUUUUUUUUAUUUAAAAAUAUGAAAUUGGAUUUGAUAAUAAAUUAAUUAAAUUUAAUUAAUUGAAGUUAGCUCUAAGUUAUGUACAUAUCGCCCG